rnacentral:lncRNA from 1 species
GAUCUUGCGUGUGCGUAGGAAAUUUUUGAAAUUACUACGUUCCCCAACACUUAGUCCUCGCAAGGAUCUCUCUCUCAAAUGCUUCGGAGGUGGGUUGCUCUCAAACGACAAAAGCCAUGCACUAACUCUGAGCAGCCACCAAUUUAUGGUGUAGGGGGUGGGCUAUUUAUAGCCAGGAGUCAACCCGACCUGAUAUGUCCGAAAUGACCCUGGGUCACUAAGGAAUUGACACGUUUCCAACGGUCAGAUUUCAAACACACGCGGCAGCUUGGCUUGGGCUACAAGCAAAGCUGACUCAUCCAUCUCUGGAUAAGGUUUGCUCUCAUUAUCUUCGCUCAAAGACAUAGGAUUUGGUUGAGCAUCACUUCUGUCACUCUAACUUUGUUCACUUGGACCCCACUUAAUAGUACGGUGGUUCCUAUGACUCAAUAAAGAAGAAAGGAAGCUAUAAAACAACUAUGUCUUCGCACUCCAUAGUCUUCAAGUGAAUAUCUUCACGUGUCAUAAUCUUCAUCAUGAAUGUCUUCAUGAACCAUCAUUGUCUUCAAUGUCUUCACACAUUUUUAGGGGUCAUCUCUGGUAGGUAAACUGAAUCAAUGAGGGACUUCUACCUGUGUUAUCCUGCAAUUCUCACAAACACAUUAGUCUCUUAACCACGUUUGUCGUCAAUACUCCAAAACCAACUAGGGGUGGCACUAGAUGCACUUACACUUCUCCACUAUUAUGCCUUCAAGAAGGGAACGACGCAGAAAAAUGCCACCAUCGCCGACCUUGGCAACGUGCCAAGAGUAGGGUUUUCACCCAGAUCCGCUCGAGGAUCCUCCAUCUAGCAUCGUGUGCAGGGGACCGCCACCGAUCACCGCCGUCGUGCAUGGAGCAGGCUGCACCGACCACAUCAGAUCUGACCGGAGACAAGGCCCAUCACGCCGCCGCCGCCGCAG